rnacentral:lncRNA from 10 species
GGGGUUUCACCGUGUUAACCAGGAUGGUCUCGAUCUCAUGACCUCGUGAUCUGCCCGCCUACAAGCCAGGUGUGGUGGUGCGUGCCUGUAAUCCCAGCUACUCAGGAGACUGAGGCAGGAGAUUCGCUUGAACCCGGGAGGUGGACGUUGCAGUGAGCUAAGAUCGCGCCACUGCACUCCAGCCUGGGCAACAAAAGUAAAACUCCGUCUCAAAAAAAAAAAAAAAAAGAAAAAGAAAAAGAAAAGAAAAGAAAAUAAACGUGGCAAAACUAGACCUUCAGACACUUCACUUCACUUAACCCUAUGGCCCUCCUUAUCUUGCACCCAAUUUCUUUUCAACAUCAUACAUGCUUGGUUGACUGUUUCUUCAUAUUUGCUGUUCAUUCUAUAAAGUCAAAUAGAUUGGUGGGUUAAAAAAUAAUCAAUUCAAAUUCAAAUUAGGAAUUUAUGGACAUUCAGAUAUCCACAUAUUUGAGGGCAGGAAUUUUUACUUUUCAAUUGGUAUGUUGGCAGUGUGUAAAAAUAGAAGACCAAGAGAAGGCGGUUGAUUGGAGUUGAUACUUAAUAGCUAAUAAAAAUUACAAGAAAGGAUGGUGGAAGUCAAAGGACAGAACUGAUACACGAGUAUAAAAGCCAACGAUGUCAUAUAUGUAGGCAAAGUCUUUGUAAUCUGAAUAUAAUGCCAGAGAGCUAGGGCUGCCAGGCACUCUGUAUGUGCAGAAUAUGUCCUAUAUGGAGUAAUUUUUUAUUUGUGUAGACUUUUUUAGGAUACCUUAAAUGUCUUACAUGCAACCUUUUUUUCCCCAUAUAUUACAAAAUUGCCUUGGAAAUUAGACAAAUCUUCAAACUUAACUGAAACUCCUGUCCUGAAUAGUUAUUUGCCAAAUCUGACAAAUUUACAAAGAGUGUUCACAUAAUCCCAAACUAUGCCCAUUUCUACAAGAGAAAUACAUGCCUCUUUAUUUGGAGUUUAUGAUAUUCAUACAACUAGUAGUAGAGUCAGGGAGUAUUCCAGAAACAUAUUUCCCUGGCUUGCCCAAUUAUCAAGGGAAAAUUUCAGCUGAACACGGGGAACCCAGUCUUUGACACUCCUGUGUGCAGUGUGGAGCAGCGUGCACUGUCUGAGUCUCCAUAGUGAGGAAUGGUCUUCCCUGGGGCAUCACCCUAGAAGGAUGGGCUCAAAGUCGCCCUCCACGUGGGUGCACAGGAGCCCAGAUUCUCAAGCCCCAGUUGCAGAAUUAGGCUGAUGGUUUUACAAAAGAGUCCUCCUAAAAGUCCAUCACUAAGUUUUGUUUGGUUAGCAACCCUUGCCACAUGAUGUAGUACUUAGCUAUAAUUUUAUUUUUAUUCAAGGCCAAAUCUUAUCUGGUGUCCAUGCCUUCCCACCUACUUAAAAUUUCAAAUUUCACCCUCAAAAAUAUUUCAGUAAAUAAAAGUUAGAUCUACUCAAAAUUAGACUCCAAGGGAAUUACUAUAGUUGAUUAUAGAGUAUCUAUUUCCUUAAAAAAAAAAAACCAUAAGUUGUUGACUCUGAGCUAGGAAAUGCGUGAUCUCUCAGCUGACUUACUUUAUGCAAAUUUACUUAAUAUUAUAGAAGAGUAAAGAGCUUCCAAGAAGGUGAUUGGAGGGAAGUUCAAAGGGAAGAUUUUUUUCAUUCACUGUAGUUUUAGCUGUAUUCUUUCAUCUGCAAUCAAAUCUCAGGAUUAAGGAUGUCGUAUUACAUCAAAUCAUUACAGGAAGUAUGACUGUAUCAGCGGCUUUUUACAAAAACAAACCUCCAGAUCACAAAAGGAAGCUGUGUUUGUGUACUGACACGAAGUGUUACGUAGCAGCCAGGAGAGGAAGGAUAGCAGCCGACUUGGAUCCAUUUUUGAGGAAUUAUUUCUGUAAGGUGUCAUGGAAUUGUAAGUUACAAAAAUAAGGCUUUUGUAAACAGAAUCUCCAUUCCAGAAGGACGGACUCCAAAAUGCUACUUAAUGAAAUUCAUGGGAAUGUUAUGGUGAUGGAAAUCCCAAAUGACAUGUAGAUUUUAUAUGCAAACAAUCCCACUGCUUGUAACUCCUGGCAGUGUGUACUUACCAAAAUCUUGAUCACACUUAGGUCUCUUGCUAUAUAUAGAACCACAUCUGAUCCUUAUACAGUGUUGCAAGAUAUAUGUCCUUGCUUUCCCAUGGUUCUUAAGUGAGUCUUAAGCUUGGAUUUGCUCCAGCAGAAUGGUGGUUUGUGUUUCUCAAGGCUGAGCUACUAUUUGGUGCAUGUCGGAAAUCUCACACUAACUGUGGAUACUCUGUCAUCACUGAACCCAAUCAUACAAUGACCAGACAGCUUUAAAUACCUACUUUUGUAUGCUAUGAAUUCAUCCGUUUACUUGUCAAAUCCUUUAUUUCCAUAUGUGUCUCCAUCACCUUUUUUUUCUCUCCGGAUAAAUGGAAUUACUGUAACUUGUGAAACAAUGGCAAAC